UCAGCGCCUCCAUUCCUAACCACUUCAAAGAUCGAUGUUUUCUCUUCGGUAUAAAAAGAAAUUCCGCCUCCUUAUCAUAUGGAUCAAUCUUGAAUUCUUCUCCUCACUUCGUUGUUUAUCCUCUAAAUAAGAUAGAAUGUGCUCAUUACUUCUCGAUCUUGUAUCAAGGAACGAAGCUUAGAUAUUAGGAUGUUACUCUUAACUCCUUCUCUUGUGGGUUGUACCGGCUCCCGAUCUCAACAGUCCCUCUCCCUUCUUCUCACACAAGAUGUGUCACACAACCAAGGUACUAGGUAACACUAUCCUUCAAGGUAUAAACAAGAGAAAUCAUCUAGGUCUAUGCCAGAAAUUGUACUUGCUACUUCUUGGUUCUCAACUCAUUUAUUAAUUACCAGGCCUCUCAAAUUCGGGGCCCUAAGGCACAUGUCUUCUUUUAACAUUGUCGAGCCACCCUUGAAUGUCCGAAAGAGCAGCUCUAUUGUUGUUGUAGCUGUUGAGCCAAUAAAAGUGUUAAAGAAUCGAUCUUAUAAUGCUUCAGAUAGAAAGGUGAUAGGGAUGCACCAAAUGGAAGAAAUUGAGUUCAGAAGAACUUCGAAUAAGUACAUCAAUGAUUGCGAAACCUCCAAGAUUUGGUUUUGAAUGGGUUAAAGAAAAAGGGUUUCGAGCUUUACCCGAUUGGGAGGAAGUUUAAGCGGAAUGGCUAUAAUUUUGUUCGAAGACCUCCUGCAUGCAGUGAAGCCGAUUUCAUUCGCUGGGAAAAUUUGCAUGAUGUGUCACUCCAUCAAGGUAACUCUAUCCUUCAAGGCAUAAACAGAAGAAAUCAUCUCGACUUUUUGCCUAUGCCAGAAACAGUACUUGACUCUUCAUGGUUCUCAACUCACUUUGUUGAUGACUAGUUCUAGGAGUUGCGCAGCAGUUGAGUUAAGAAUUCUCUGGUCUCCGUCACCUUUCACCGGUCUCCUUCAGGUUCAUGGUGAAAUUGCUCCUGUUUCCUUCAUCCUCAUGUUAAAGGUAUGGCAGGAGGCAGAUGUCGUGGAAAAUCUCAGGUAGGAGUAAUCCUGCUGGUCGUGUAAGCAUGCCAUCUAUUCCUAAGCACACUAGAUUUUCUCCUCGAAAAGGUGGUACCCCAACCAAUAUUGUAAUGUCAACUCAGAGUAUUAGCCCAAUCAUCUCUGAGACACCUCCUGUUACACAAAACGAGAGUAACUAAACAGGUAUUGCUGGCGGUAGAGGUCUCGGAAAAUCCUCAGCUAUGAAUAAUUCUGCUAUUCGUGUAAACAUGCCAACUAUUCCCAAGCCCACUACAGUUUCUCCUCAACAAGGUGGUACACCGAUCAAUAUUGAAACGUCAACUCACAGUACUAUCCCAACAAUCUGCGAGACACCUACAACUACACUAAAUGACAUUAACUUAAUAGGGUCAAGGUCUUUCUACCCAUAGCAAUGUUCCAACAGGUCAUACAAAUACAGUUGGUGAAGGCGAGUCCAACAGUAGCCAUCCAAGGACCCUUGUCUUUCUAUCUUCUUCAGGGUUAGUCCAUUCUUUUAAUUUUAUUCCUACUUGUUGUGUUGAUGAAACUUCAUAUCUUUUAAUUCUGAUUUAUGAUAGCCCUCCCAAUAACCUCUUCUAAUUUAUACAUACUGGAACUUUCUCAAAUAUUCUCUAGUUUCAUAUCAAAAUAUUUCUAAAGUGUGAUUGAUCCCAAUGUAAUCAAUUGGAAAGGUGUUUCAAAUGAUGUAAGAAAUGGUUAUUUUUGAGAAUUUAAGGUAUAAGUUUUCAUCGUAAGUGAUUUUAGAAAGUAUAUUCACGUAUAUAGAUAGGACAUUAAUGUACUACUUUCGAAGCUUGUUUCAGAAAAAGUUCUGCUGGGAUGUUUCCAUAAGUGAAAACAAAGUCAAAACAAUGGAUGGUUAAGGAAUCAUUGAACUAUAGGAAUUUCAUUUCUAAAAUUAAAAAAGGAGGAGUUAGGCUAGGUUACGUACCAGAAGAUGUAUGGGAAAGAUGGAGGGAGCAUUGGGGAAGUGUGGAGUCUAUUAGGAAAUCAGAAAUUAAUUCGCAAAAUUGUUGUGGCGGUCGUGAAACUGCUAUGGGGACUUACACUGGUGGCUCUAUUUCUAUAAGAGAACAUCGCAAAAACUUGCUAUUGAAAAAGGUCGAGAUCCCACGCCAAGUGAGUUAUAUCUUCAUGUUCAUACACAUGCACAUGAUGAAAAACAUUUGUUGGUGAAACAAUCGAUUACUCCAUCCGGCAAUCCAUCGUCUGCGGCGCCCAUGCCUCCUACUAGUAAUGUGGACAAGUUACAGGUUGCUUGAUGCAGCCAGUUGCACGGGGAAUUGGGUAUUUAGUUCACUACAAGAGCAACGGGAGAUGUAUGUAUAAAGAAUCUGAGAAGCUGAAGAAUUGCAAAGGUUAGGUGCAUCGAAGAACAUGUGACUCACGGAGAAACAUAAAGGACAUUUCACCCAAUGGCGAGGCUUGGUUAAGGAAUUUUGAUAUCACUAUUGCAGAUGUGGCAGCUGUAAUGUAAUGAGGUAGAAUUGAGUUGAAAGAUAUGGUUGGGUGUCCAAACUUUAAAUCACAUUACUCCCUGAACAUGAAAGCUAAAAAAACUUUAGGGGAGUUUAUUGAUCAUCGAAAUAAAAGCACCAAUCCUAAUGCUUUAUCCUAUGAUCAUCCAUUUAAAAGUGAGGUUAUACCUAGUUAUAGUGAUGAGGUGUUUUACUCCAGAAAAUUAAGAGGAAGAGCUCAUGGCAGUGUUGAGAGAUGACGGGGUCACUAUGAUUGGGACAUCUGGUCUGGGCGGUGUUCGUAAGACAACACUGCCUGAGAAAAUGAGACAAAAGGCAAAACAAGAAACGUUAUUCAAUGAUGUAGUCAUGGUAACUGUUAAUCAACAACCCGAGAUGAAAAGAAUCCAGGUGAGAUCGCAGGCGAAGUCGGGCUAACAUUAGUGUUGAAUGCCUUGAAUCGGACCCUUAAUUAUCUGUCAAUUCUGUAUUUUGGGCCCAAGCCUGUUAGGGUGUAGCUUAGCACUAUAUAUAGACGC